GUGCCAGCCGCCGCGGUAAGACGAGGGAUCCAAGCGUUGUUCGGAAUUAUUGGGCGUAAAGCGGAUGCAUGUGGCUCUGUUAGUCAGGUGUGAAAUCCCAGGGCUCAACCCUGGAAGUGCAUUUGAUACUGCAGAGCUUGAGUGCUAGAGAGGUAAGUAGAAUUCCUGGUGUAGUGGUGAAAUACGUAGAUAUCAGGAGGAAUACCGGAGGCGAAGGCGGCUUACUGGCUAGACACUGACACUCAUAUCCGAAAGCGUGGGGAUCAAACAGGAUUAGAUACCCCCGUAGUCC
rnacentral:rRNA from 1 species